rnacentral:misc_RNA from 1 species
GUGAAUCAUCGAAUCUUUGAACGCAAAUUGCGCUCGAGGCCUUCGGGUCAAGAGCAUGUCUGUUUCAGCGUCGGCUAUCCAAUCAAACCCCUUUUCUUUUGUGGAAAGAGGCUUUGGAGCUGACUGUCUCCAGCCUGCAUGGGCAGGAGUCUGUCGAAUAGCAUCGGCUAUGGUGACCCAUUUAAGGGGAUCCGGAUUGGUAGGUGACCUUACGGUUACAAAGCCACCGGAGCCCUGGGUGUUGCUGUAGCCUGCAGGAAUCGAGGAGUGCAAGCUCCUUUCCUUUCGACCUGAAAUCAG